rnacentral:rRNA from 1 species
UACGUAGGGUGCAAGCGUUAUCCGGAAUUAUUGGGCGUAAAGAGCUCGUAGGCGGUUUGUCGCGUCUGCUGUGAAAACUGGGGGCUCAACCCCCAGCCUGCAGUGGGUACGGGCAGACUAGAGUGCGGUAGGGGAGAUUGGAAUUCCUGGUGUAGCGGUGGAAUGCGCAGAUAUCAGGAGGAACACCGAUGGCGAAGGCAGAUCUCUGGGCCGUAACUGACGCUGAGAAGCGAAAGCAUGGGGAGCGAACAGG